UCCCGGCGGUCCAAGUCGCAUCCACAAUUAUUGGGUCUAAAACAUUCGUAGCUUGUUUUGUAAGUCUCUUGUGAAAUCUUAUGUCUUAAAUAUGAGGCGUGCAAGAGAUACUGCAUUACUAGAGAUCGGAAGACGCAAGGAGUAUGACUGAGGUAGUGGUAAAAUACGUUAAUCUUGGUCAGACUAACAACGGCGAAGGCACCUUGCGAGUACGAAUCUGACAGUGAGGGAUGAAGGCUAGGGGCGCGAAAGG
rnacentral:rRNA from 1 species